UACGUAGGGUGCAAGCGUUAAUCGGAAUUACUGGGCUUAAAGCGUGCGCAGGCGGUUGUGCAAGGCCGGUGUGAAAUCCCCGGGCUCAACCUGGGAACUGCAUUUGUGACUGCCAGGCUAGAGUACGGCAGAGGGGGAUGGAAUUCCGCGUGUAGCAGUGAAAUGCGUAGAUAUGCGGAGGAACACCGAUGGCGAAGGCAAUCCCCUGGGCCUGUACUGACGCUCAUGCACGAAAGCGUGGGGAGCAAACAGG
rnacentral:rRNA from 1 species